AUUGAACGCUGGCGGCAGGCCUAACACAUGCAAGUCGAGCGGCAGCGGGAAGUAGCUUGCUACUUUGCCGGCGAGCGGCGGACGGGUGAGUAAUGCCUGGGGAUCUGCCCAAUCGAGGGGGAUAACUACUGGAAACGGUAGCUAAUACCGCAUACGCCCUACGGGGGAAAGCAGGGGACCUUUUGGCCUUGCGCGAUUGGAUGAACCCAGGUGGGAUUAGCUUGUUGGUGAGGUAACGGCUCACCAAGGCGACGAUCCCUAGCUGGUCUGAGGGGAUGAUCAGCCACACUGGAACUGAGACACGGUCCAGACUCCUACGGGAGGCAGCAGUGGGGGAUAUUGCACAAUGGGGGAAACCCUGAUGCAGCCAUGCCGCGUGUGUGAAGAAGGCCUUCGGGUUGUAAAGCACUUUCAGCGAGGAGGAAGGGGAGUGAGCUAAUACCUCGCUUCAUUGACGUUACUCGCAGAAGAAGCACCGGCUAACUCCGUGCCAGCCGCCGCAGUAAGAC
rnacentral:rRNA from 1 species